rnacentral:tRNA from 1 species
GGGACUAUAGCUCAAUGGCAGAGCUGUCGGCUCAUAACUGAUAGGUUCCUGGUUCGAGUCCAGGUGGUCCCA